GAUGAAGAACGCAGCGAAAUGCGAUAAGUAGUGUGAAUUGCAGAAUUCAGUGAAUCAUCGAAUCUUUGAACGCACAUUGCGCCCUUUGGUAUUCCAAAGGGCAUGCCUGUUCGAGCGUCAUUUGUACCCUCAAGCUUUGCUUGGUGUUGGGCGUCUUGUCUCCAGUUCGCUGGAGACUCGCCUUAAAGUAAUUGGCAGCCGGCCUACUGGUUUCGGAGCGCAGUACAUCUCGCGCUUUGCACUCAUAACGACAGCGUCCAAAAGUACAUUUUACACUCUUGACCUCGGAUCAGGUAGGGAUACCCGCUGAACUUAAGCAUAUCAAUAAGCGGAGGA
rnacentral:misc_RNA from 1 species